AGUACGAUGGUGCAGUGGGAGCAUUCUUAUGAUUAUUAAGAGACCUGGGUUCGAUUCCUAGUCGUGCUA
rnacentral:tRNA from 1 species